UACGAAGGGGGCUAGCGUUGUUCGGAUUCAUUGGGCGUAAAGGGUGCGUAGGUGGCGGGGUAAGUCAGGUGUGAAAUCUCGGGGCUCAACCCCGAAACUGCACUUGAUACUGCCUUGCUUGAGUACUGGAGAGGAGAUUGGAAUUUACGGUGUAGCAGUGAAAUGCGUAGAUAUCGUAAGGAAGACCAGUGGCGAAGGCGAAUCUCUGGACAGUUACUGACACUGAGGCACGAAGGCCAGGGGAGCAAACGGG
rnacentral:rRNA from 1 species